rnacentral:misc_RNA from 1 species
CGCACAUUGCGCCCCUUGGUAUUCCGGGGGGCAUGCCUGUUCGAGCGUCAUUUCACCACUCAAGCCUCGCUUGGUAUUGGGCGACGCGGUACGCCGCGCGCCCCAAAUCGACCGGCUGGGUCGACCGUCCCCUCAGCGUUGUGGCAACUAUUCGCUAAAGGGUGUCGCGGUCGGUCACGCCGUAAAACAAGACCUCAUUUCUAAGGUUGACCUCGGAUCAGGUAGGGAUACCCGCUGAACUUAA